GGUCAGGAUGAACGCUGGCGGCGUGCUUAACACAUGCAAGUCGAACGGAGUUGUUCACCGAAUGAAUUGGAGAGCUUGCUCAAAGAGGAAUUCACCGAAGCAACUUAGUGGCGGACGGGUGAGUAACGCGUGGGUAACCUACCCUUAUCAGGGGGAUAACAGUCGGAAACGACUGCUAAUACCGCAUAAGCGCACAGUAUCGCAUGAUACAGUGUGAAAAACUCCGGUGGAUAAGGAUGGACCCGCGUCUGAUUAGCUAGUUGGUGAGGUAACGGCCCACCAAGGCGACGAUCAGUAGCCGGCCUUAACGGGUGAACGGCCACAUUGGGACUGAGACACGGCCCAAACUCCUACGGGAGGCAGCAGUGGGGAAUAUUGCACAAUGGGGGAAACCCUGAUGCAGCGACGCCGCGUGAAGGAAGAAGUAUUUCGGUAUGUAAACUUCUAUCAGCAGGGAAGAUAGUGACGGUACCUGACUAAGAAGCUCCGGCUAAAUACGUGCCAGCCGCAGC
rnacentral:rRNA from 1 species